UACGGAGGGUGCGAGCGUUGUUCGGAAUUAUUGGGCGUAAAGGGCGCGUAGGCGGAUGGCACAGUCAGAUGUGAAAUUCCUGGGCUUAACCUGGGGGCUGCAUUUGAUACGUGUGAUCUAGAGUGAGGAAGAGGGUUGUGGAAUUCCCAGUGUAGAGGUGAAAUUCGUAGAUAUUGGGAAGAACACCGGUGGCGAAGGCGGCGACCUGGUCCUUAACUGACGCUGAGGCGCGAAAGCGUGGGGAGCAAACAGG
rnacentral:rRNA from 1 species